ensembl:lncRNA
UCCUUUUCCAACCAUUUUUUAAUUCACUUUCGAUGCACAAUUCAUGUUUCACACACUUGCAAACAUAUUUUUGAGCCCACUGUUGGCUUCUUUCCAUGCUUGAAUCAAUCACAUCCUAAAAUUACCCCUUUAUAUUGGAAAGUGUUAAACUGGAAAGGCUAACCAGUUGCCCUAUGAACAAGUCAGGACCAUGUCUGUCUGCCUGGAGGGAACCUGAGAGCAGGAAAAUCUCUGUAAAAGUUUCUUUGCAGAGUUACAAUGAGGGUCUAAUCUCCUGCCUUUAGGUGCACAAGCAGGAGGAGCUCUUAAAAAAUUAAUGUUUGCAUAAUUUCAUUAAAAAUAGGAGCCCUACAAAACCAAUCAACAGUUUUGAAGGGCUUCUCAUAGCACUAACUGUCAACUGGGUAUCAAUAAUACACAAAUAUUUAUUAAGAGCAUAUAUUACCUUAAAUUAUACCUUUUUAUAUGGAUUUGAGCUUUUCCCUGCCGGGUUUGCAGCUCAGCCCUGUUUGAGUGCCUGAGAACCAGAUGGGGUGUGGGAGCAAAAGCAGAAAAACUACAUAAUGGAAACCAGGUUUAAAUAAAUGCAAUGACAUAAUCUGUACAGUUCUUGGCAGAAAAGAGCAAAUUUGUGCUUUUCAUAGCCGCUUUUUCAAUAAGCUGUAAGUUUCCCUUUUAAGUAAUGGUUGUAACAAACAGUUCUGAUUCCUCUCCUAUUAAAGUCAGUAACAGACAUCCGCUUAGCUUCCACCAAAGCACCCAGCUGUGAAGUAUUGCCACCUCGCAUGAACCAAGACUCCCUGAAUAAUGUUUCUCUCCUCGCUCCAGCCAACAUCUGGUAUUAAGAAACACAGCCUUCAUUUAGAAAAGGUGCUGGUAUAAGUGCCAGUAUACAUGGGAAGAUCACAUAGAAAACCUUGGAAAUUUACACUCUAAAAACACUGAGGGAAAAGUGCCUAAUCUGUUCAUCUUUAUUAUUUCUAGGCUGAGGACCAAGGUAGAAGAGAGAACUGAGAAAAUUCAUUGUUUCAAAUUGCCCAGGACUGACAAUAUUGUUAUUGGAUUUUAGGAUUCUUCUGCUCCUUUUGCAGUCAAGCAAUAAAAAUAUGUAUUUGGCACAAUUCCCUUAGACACACUUGGAAAAUAAAAUCUGUAUUAUUUUAUGCCAGAUGUGCAGGACACUGAAAAAUAAACAGAAGAUAAUGGGACAACUCUAAUGGUUUGGUAUUUACAGGAAAAACAACCCAGAGCGAUGUCUGUAUAAUAUUUAAUGGCAAAUCAUAGUCUCUAACAUCAUUAUAUUAUUCUGUUACAGUUCUUUCACACAGUGUAAAAUACAGUAACUGUAUUUGAAAAAUCCUAAUUAAAAGAGGAACACUCUGUGACAGCAGAAAUAACUGAAGGGAACACGGAAAUACUGUUCUAAUUGCCAAGUGUUAUCUAUCCAUCUAAACUCAUCACACACCACAUUUAGCCCUUUGUUUGCAGCAAAAUCAUGGACCCAGACCUGGGGUAGCAUACAUUUCCUAAUCAUUCCAGUUUACACCCCAUAUUAUAGGCAACACAGCAAACUGUGGUCCAACACCCUGGGGAGAUUGCUCCCAUCUUACAUUGGUCAGGAUUUGCUUUAUGUGUUAAACCAUGAGGAUUUUAUGUGUUAAACCAUGAGGAUUUACAGUGCUUCCAACCAGGAUAAAAGCAAGCAGCAGGAAGGAGACGGUUGGGUGGCACUUCCCAACUGCAUUUUAUCUACAGGAGCCCUCAGAACCCUCCCAAAAGCUGUGUAUCAGCAUCCCAGCUCUUGGGGCAGAAGGUGAAUUAAGUAAAAGCACUCCUUAAGCCUUAGUGUUUAUCUAAACGUGGCUUUAACUUUAAACCUCUCAGCUUUGUGGUUGCCUUUUUAUUCACGUUCACUUUUCCCCUUGGCUCUUCUUGAAUAUACUACUAUGAUUUCCAGCUUAUCCUUUACAGAAUAUAUAUAUGUAUUUCAUAUAUUUAGCUAAAUGCGCCAUUUUUUAUCCCUUUUGACCGUUGGUGCAUCAUCACCGACCCACUCACACCAGCAAAGAACCUGACCCGAUAUAUUUUCUCUCUAGGUGUCUAUUAAACAGCAGUAUGAUUCUGUAAAGCAAGGAGGUAGGUAGUAAACUGAUCCUAGAAAAGAUAAACUUGUGAAAAGGCGCACUGUGCUGCGACAGGGGCUGCAGUGUGACACCCUCACAGGCAGUAUUUCUGUAUUUUUCUUCUGGAAAAGCUACCUCAGGACAUGUGAACUGGCGUUUUUGGCUCUCAGCAUCAAGUUUCCAUCCUUCCCAGAGGGGAAACUUGCUUGAGGGUAUUUUUUUGUUAAUUGUUACUUAUUACCAGAGUCUAAAGUAUCAUUUAAUAACUGACUGAUGCUGUACCUUUUAUCCAUGUGCUCACAGCUGUCCCUAGAACAGGCCAUAUAGCACCUCUUUGCCACUUAAAAAACUCCCUAAGCUAAGGGAUGCAUUUACAGCUCAAGUGUGCCCAGGGUACUUUAAGAGUUGGGAGUUAAACAGUAUUAAAAUCCCCUAAAAUAGUAGUGUCAUCAAAAAUGUUGGGGGGAAAUUUGGCUGUAAAGCUUUGGUAAGCAGUUCCUGAGGAACAUGUUUACUAAAAGCACAUCCUCAAAAGUGUUUCAUGCUGUUCGCUUCACCAUCUCAAGGCAAGGAACAGUGCUGCUGCUUCUUGGCAGAAGUUUUCUCCCGAUUCCCAGCUGGAUUUUUGGCUGCUGUGGCGAACA